rnacentral:rRNA from 1 species
GUUCGAUUAUGGCUCGGAACUGAACGCUGGCGGGAUGCUUGCUACACAUGCAAGUCGAACGGCAGCACGGACUUCGGUCUGGUGGCGAGUGGCGAACAGGUGAGUAAUGUAUCGGAACGGUAAGUAGCGGGGAUAACUACGCGAAAGCGUAGCUAAUACCACAUACGCCCUUCGAGGAAAACGGGGGACAGCCCAGACCUCGCACUAUUAGAGCAGCCGAUAUCAGUUAAGCCGUUGGUGGGGUAACGGCCAUAAGGCGACGAUCCAUGCUUUGGUUUGAGAGGACGACCAGCCACUGGGACUGAGACACGGCCAGACUCCUACGGGAGGCAGCAGUGGGGAAUUUUGGACAAUGGGAAACCUGAUCCAGCCAUCGUGUGCAAUGAAGGCCUUCAGGUUAUCAGCCUUUUGGCAGAAAAAGCAGCACGGGGAUAAUACCCCAUGUGCUGACAAAACCACCUGCAGAAUAGCACCAAGCUAUUCGUGCCAGCAACGGUAAUGGCGGGGUGAAGCGUUAGUAAGAUUACUGGGCGUAAAGCGUGCGCGACCGGUUCCAGAAGAAAGAUGUAGAAAUCCGAAACAACUGAACUGCAUUUUUAACUACCAGGCUAGGGUAUGUCAGAGGGAGGUGGAAUUUAGUGUAGCAGUGAAAUGUGAAUAUGCGGAGGAACACCGAUGGCGGCGGCCUCUGGAUAACACUGACGCUCAUGCACGAAAAGCGUGGGAGCAAACAGGUUGAUACCCUGGUAGUCCACGCCCUAAACGAUGUCAACUAGCUGUUGGGGCCUUCGGGGCUUAAAUGCGAAAAGCGCAACUAACGCGUGAAGUUGACCGCCUGGGAAGUACGUCGCAAGAUUAAAGCUUCCAAAGGAAUUGACGGGGACCCGCACAAGCGGUGGAUGAUGUAAGUUAAUUCGAUGCAACGCGAAAAACCUACCCUUGACAUAAUACUGGAAUCCCGAAGAAGAUUGCAAGGUGCUCGCAAGAGAACCGGAACACAGGUACUGCAUGGCUGUCGAUGACUCGUGUCGUGAGAUGUUGGGUUAAGUCCCGCAACGAGCGCAACGCCGUCAUUAGUUGCUGAAAGGGCACUCUGAAAAUGAGACUGCCGGUGACAAACCGGAGGAAGGUGGGGAUGACGUCAAGUCCUCAUGGCCCUUAUGGGUAGGGCUUCACACGUCAUACAAUGGUCGGGACAGAGGGGUCGCCAACCCGCGAGAAGACCAAUCCCGAAACCCGAUCGUAGUCCGGAUCGCAGUCUGCAACUCGACUGCGUGAAGUCGAAAUCGCUGUCAUCGCGGAUCAGCAUAUGUGGUGAAUACGUUCCCGGGUCUUGUACACCGCCCGUCACACCAUGGGAGUGGGUUUUACCAGAAGUAGUUAGCCCCAAUAACCGUAAGGAGGGCGAUUACUACGGUAAGUUCAUGACUGGGGUGAAGUCGUAACAAGGUAA